ensembl:lncRNA
CUUUAGUGAAGCUUUCCUCUGCAAAUCUGGACUCUUCUGAUAUGGGAAAGGCUGACACCAAGUGAGCUGCGUCCUUGCAUCAUCUUGUUUUUGCUUUAAUAGUCGUGACUCCACCUCAGAAUAUUCCUGCAGCUUCAGGUCAGCUCGCAGGGAGCUGUUGGGUCUCUUCUCCAUGAAACAGAGCUGGAAAGGUGUUUCUGUGCUGAAAACUAUGUCUUGGGUUAACUGCAGUUAAAGAGGAAGAAAGGUACCUGUUUUAGUAAUAAAGCAGUAAUUAAUUCCAGCCAUUCAUAAAGGAAACCUCAGUAAGCCAGAAGAAAUGAUUUACACAUCUUUGUAUUACAGUGUUUUUUCCAUUCACCUUUUUUGGAGCGUUUCCUUCAAAAGAUGUUCAGCCCAUACAUUACUAUUUAAAGAGUCUAAUUUGACCCAGGCAAUAAUGACCUAUAAAUAUUCAUGAUUUUGUUUAAACAUUAAAAUAACAUCUGUUUCAAAACAUCUGCAAUCUGUUUUCAAUGCUUCAGUAACAUUUAAAUUAACUGUAACUAAUACAAUAAACCACUAUUAGGGAUAAUGAUAAUGAAGGAUCCCCUAUUAAGAGACACGAACAACAUGGAAUUGAAUGAAAAACCAAAUGGGGUUGUGGGGGAAGGAGAAAAACCUAAUAGCCAGAUCUCAAAGUUCCUUGGAACUCAGCUUUGCCAUUAUGGGAGAGUUUCCUGUGUGUAGGACCAUUGUUUAAGGGUCUCAGCUGUUGCCUCUCAGCUCCACUUGGGUCUUGUUCCAAUUUCCACUGCGAGAGCAGUGAUUUAUAGCCCCUACAGUUUGGCUUUGAAGGCAGGGGGAGGCUCGUGCUCUCCAGCUGAAGAGCCCUGCAGAGUAUUUCUGAGCUGGAGAGGCCAGCACAGCCCGUGCAGUUGUGGUUAAUGAGCCCCAUAACCUCACUGCCCACCAGGCAGCCCCGCUGAGCCACGAUGCCCAGUGGCUGAGCUCGUGGUGCCCACCAUAGUUAACUCACUCCCAAAAAAGGGCUUUUGUUUCCCACUAUGAGGUUCUCUCUCUUUUUCUCAGUUGCCAGGAGGAAUGACAUCAUGCACAUCUGUAUAUAGCUGCAAGAGGAAGGUGAAGGUCGGGGAGGAAGGCUCACACCUCCGCACUGGUGGGCUGACACCAGGCACCCACCUCCACCAGACGUGGCUGGAAAGCUGUGCCUGCAUGGAAACUCCUGGUGGGUCAGACCAUAAAUCAUAAAUCAAUUUGUUCAAAAAUUAGGCUUAGUGUUCUGUGGUUUGCUUUGGUUUUUAAGCCAGCCCUCCCUUUUCCCUUCCUUCUCCCACUCUCCAACAAAAAUCCAGGAGGUGGUUCUGAGUCGCCCAGACCAAAUGCAAACAGCCAGAACAACAAAAAAGUGAGGAUUACAGCAGCUGGAUUUAUUCUUUUCUGACUUUUUUUCCUUUUAAUUAUUUUAUUUAUUUUUUUUUUUAAGAAAAAAAAUCUAUAUCCAAAUAUGUUUUCGAGUUGAAACAAAGUCAGGAUCUACUGUAUGUCUGUGUGCCCUCAAGUCUGUAGGAGCAGCUCUCACCAGUUGCACCCAGCUGGAGGAUGGGAGCCUGGCAGGCUACCACCUUCCCUUCCCAGCAGCCAUGGGAGCCCAUGGAAAGCAGAGCAUAAAUUCAAACCAUUUAAAGAGUGAUUAAGACUUCUCCUGAUUACUGCUCUGCAUGGUAUUGAAUGGUUUGGAUGGUGGUGAUUUAUUGAAGUAAUAUAUAAUAUGCUCCGUUCGGUUAAAGGUCCCCAUCAAGCACAAUCCAGAUGAAUAAAAAAGUAAAAAGAGGGAGAGAGUGUGCUGUAAGAGGAAAUCUCCUUGGAUUUAAGAGAAAUUGAAAUAUGUACAUGGUAAUCUGUGUCCAAAGCUUUUAGCACUUCAGAAAGUGCCAGUUGCUAAUACCUCUGGCUAAAGGCAGCGUUACGUGGAUGGCUGAUGAUCCCAGGGCCUUCCUCCUUCCCUCCACCACUGACACCUGGCUCCUCCACCUGGCCUACCCUGCGGCAGAUGCUGGGUUUUUUGUUAAUAUCUGUUUUAUUCCAUGAUGCAGGAUCAGGUUCUUCAAGGAUGGGCAUAGCCACCUGUAGUGGAAAUGCUGAGUCUUGGCUUAAACCAGUGAUUGAGCACCUGGUAGGAAGGCAGGCCACAGCAGGGGAGCUCAUUACAUGCACCUGAGUGACCAGAAGUGGUGAAGCCAGGAUCCACCCCUUCCCAGACCUCAUUUCAGGGUUGGCAGUGGAGGUGAGGGUAUCUCACUAGAGAUCCCUGCCUAUCAGAAGCCUUUUAAAGGUAAGCUGUCUUUUUUCCUUUAUUUCUACGUCCAGAGGUGCUGCAUUUAGGUUUAUUCUUAUUUGCUUCAGCCUAGGAUUGUGCCACCCUGUUCCUAUUGCUGUACUUUCCAUCACAUUAUAGUAUAUCAGCAUUACACCAGCUCCCCAUCAGCCCCACAGCAGCUGGGCAGGUGAAAAUACUGGGAACUGCAACCUGAAGAGGAAAAAGCUGGAGCUGGAGAUAUAGAAAGGAAAAAAAAAAAAACAGCAGUGUAAGCACUCAGCCUAGCUCCAACACUUUUAACACUUCAGCUUUAAUAGUAAAGUAGCUCUUACUUAUGUUAGGCGGAGGUUUAUUUAUUUUCAUAUAUGGCAUUUGAUGUAUUAUCACGCCUUUAGGAUCUGAGUCAAUGAGAUACCUCCACAGUGGGCUAAUUUUAAGGCAUCAUCUCCAAUUAACACUGAUCUCAAUCACAAGCUUUCCAAUAUAAGGUAGCUGGGUUAGAAAUGAUAAGAUUAUUAAUCAAAUGUUUCAUCUCAAGUUUGCUUUUAAGGAUCCGUGCCUCCAAGUGGGUUUUGUAUUCCCCUGAAGGCAUGAGAAUUGGAAAUAACUUCUACAAGCCAGCAACAAGGAGAGCAGAUACUCUACCCCCAAGUACCCCUGCUCCACAACUCUGGGCUUUUGUGAAACCUGGACAAGAUACCCAGAAAUUACAAAAGCUUUUGAACUUUUCCAGCUCACUAAAAAGAGCACAGAUGGGGAUUGUUUUUUUUUUCUCAGUUUCUAAAAUUAGUGAAAUUAGAUUCAAUUCCAAACCUGAUAAGCACUCUUCUUCAGCUCUGAUGUUUUUUCAUGACUGUUGUAGAGUUGCUGUUCUUUAAGAAGGCAGGAAAUUGAAUUGUGGUUGGUAUGUGAUGGACAUAGGUGUGCCUGUGCAUUUCUCUUGUUUGCACUGAGCAAAUGUUCAGCAAACAAGGAAAUGUUCUUUCCUUUCUUGGCUCAACCAAAGAGCUCAUGUCUCCCAGUCAUUCUUUAUCCCUUUAAUGCCAUGCAGAUGUCCUCCACGUUGGCUGAAGGGACACACAACCCUUUGUGUAGUGCUUGGAGCAUAGACUGAGUUUGUGGAGAUGCAGAGUUGGGCUUUUGAGCUCUAGCAUAUCUCAAGUAGAACCACAGCAUCAUUAAGGUUGGAAAAGGCCUCUAAGAACAGCUAGUUCAACCAUCUACCUGUCACCCAUGUUGCCCACUAAACCACUUCCAUCAGUGCCACAUCUCCAUGGUUCUUAAACACCUCCAGGGACAGUGACUUCACUACCUUGCUGGGCAGCCUGUGCCAAUGCAUCACCACUCUACUGGAAAAGAUUUUCCUAAUAUCCAACCUGAAAAGUACACACUGAAAAAUUUUUUACACACACACACACACACACACACACACACACACACAUAUUCCCUGUAAUUGUUAGCUUGGCUCCAUGUAAGUAUAUUUUGAUAGGAGCAGUCAAAUGCUUGGCCAUCAGCUCAGGGCAGGCACAUGCCAGCUGUAGAGGUCUUGCUCCAAGGCCCAGAGGCCCUAGUGCUUCUCUGGAAAAUGUCUGUCAGAAUAUUUUAGCCUGGGCUUCACAUUUUCCCUUAAUCUCACUCUCAGAAAUGACGGCACCAUUUUAGCUGUAACUUUCCAAAUCAAAUUCAGCCUGAUGCACGGAAAAAACCUGCACUGACAGUCACAAGCCUGGCAGAGCUGUAGACUGCAGGGUCUCCUGAGAGGAAGACUGGGACAGUGAUAUAGAAUCAUAGAAUGGUCGGGUUGGAAAUGACCUUGAACCCCUUGCCAUGGGCUGGUUCCCACCCACCAGCUCAGGCUGCCCAGGGCCCCAUCCAACCCAGCCUUGAGCACCUCCAGAGAUGAAGAAUCCAGAGCCUGUCUGGGCAGCCUGUGCCAUCACCCCCUCAGUGAAAAUUUCCCCCUGAUAUCUAUGGUGGCAGCCCCAACACUGCAGAAGAGCUACACGCGCCUCCUGAAAGCCAGAGCAGCUUCAUUGGCCCAGAGCCCUCACACCACGAACCUCAAUGCUGCAGGUGCAAAACUACCACUACUUUUCAGCACAAUAACACAAAAGA